rnacentral:rRNA from 1 species
UACGUAGGCGGCAAGCGUUAUCCGGAUUUAUUGGGCGUAAAGGGAACGCAGGCGGUCUUUUAAGUCUGAUGUGAAAGCCUUCGGCUUAACCGGAGUAGUGCAUUGGAAACUGGGAGACUUGAGUGCAGAAGAGGAGAGUGGAACUCCAUGUGUAGCGGUGAAAUGCAUAGAUAUAUGGAAGAACACCAGUGGCGAAAGCGGCUCUCUGGUCUGUAACUGACGCUGAGGUUCGAAAGCGUGGGUAGCAAACAGG